rnacentral:rRNA from 1 species
AAAAAAGGUAAGCUACUAAGAGCGAAUGGUGGAUGCCUUGACUGGUAAAGGCGAUGAAGGACGUACUAGACUGCGAUAAGCUACGGGGAGCUGUCAAGAAGCUUUGAUCCGUAGAUUUCCGAAUGGGGCAACCCAAUGUAUAGAGAUAUACAUUACCUAUAUAGGAGCGAACGAGGGGAAUUGAAACAUCUUAGUACCCUCAGGAAAAGAAAUCAAUAGAGAUUGCGUCAGUAGCGGCGAGCGAAAGCGCAAGAGGGCAAACCCAGUGCUUGCACUGGGGGUUGUAGGACUGCAAUGUGCAAGAGGUAAGUUUAGCAGAACAUUCUGGAAAGUAUAACCAUAGAGGGUGAUAGUCCCGUAUGCGAAAAACAAACCUUAGCUAGCAGUAUCCUGAGUAGGGCGGGACACGAGGAAUCCUGUCUGAAUCCGGGUCGACCACGAUCCAACCCUAAAUACUAAUACCAGAUCGAUAGUGCACAAGUACCGUGAGGGAAAGGUGAAAAGAACUGAGGUGAUCAGAGUGAAAUAGAACCUGAAACCAUUUGCUUACAAUCAUUCAGAGCCCUAUGUAGCAAUACAGGGUGAUGGACUGCCUUUUGCAUAAUGAGCCUGCGAGUUGUGGUGUCUGGCAAGGUUAAGCAAACGCGAAGCCGUAGCGAAAGCGAGUCUGAAUAGGGCGCUUAGUCAGAUGCUGCAGACCCGAAACGAAGUGAUCUAUCCAUGAGCAAGUUGAAGCUAGUGUAAGAACUAGUGGAGGACUGAACCCAUAGGCGUUGAAAAGCCCCGGGAUGACUUGUGGAUAGGGGUGAAAGGCCAAUCAAACUUCGUGAUAGCUGGUUCUCUCCGAAAUAUAUUUAGGUAUAGCGUUGUGUCGUAAUAUAAGGGGGUAGAGCACUGAAUGGGCUAGGGCAUACACCAAUGUACCAAACCCUAUCAAACUCCGAAUACCUUAUAUGUAAUCACAGCAGUCAGGCGGCGAGUGAUAAAAUCCGUCGUCAAGAGGGAAACAACCCAGACUACCAGCUAAGGUCCCUAAAUCUUACUUAAGUGGAAAACGAUGUGAAGUUACUUAAACAACCAGGAGGUUGGCUUAGAAGCAGCCAUCCUUUAAAGAAAGCGUAAUAGCUCACUGGUCUAGUGAUUUUGCGCGGAAAAUAUAACGGGGCUAAAGUAAGUACCGAAGCUGUAGACUUGCACACAACUUAGAUUAUUUAAGUUUAGAAUAUGAGAAACUAAGUUAUAUGUUUAGUUAUAUUUUUACUGAUUUUUAUAGAGUAAAGAUAGAAAUAAAACUUAGUAAAAUCAGUAAAAAUAUUCUUAGACUAAAGUUAAGUAGUUUAAGUUGUGUGCAAGUGGUAGGAGAGCGUUCUAUUUGCGCCGAAGGUAUACCGGUAAGGAGUGCUGGAGCGAAUAGAAGUGAGCAUGCAGGCAUGAGUAGCGAUAAUUAAUGUGAGAAUCAUUAACGCCGUAAACCCAAGGUUUCCUACGCGAUGCUCGUCAUCGUAGGGUUAGUCGGGUCCUAAGUCGAGUCCGAAAGGGGUAGACGAUGGCAAAUUGGUUAAUAUUCCAAUACCAACAUUAGUGUGCGAUGGAAGGACGCUUAGGGCUAAGGGGGCUAGCGGAUGGAAGUGCUAGUCUAAGGUCGUAGGAGGUUAUACAGGCAAAUCCGUAUAACAAUACUCCGAGAACUGAAAGGCUUUUUGAAGUCUUCGGAUGGAUAGAAGAACCCCUGAUGCCGUCGAGCCAAGAAAAGUUUCUAAGUUUAGCUAAUGUUGCCCGUACCGUAAACCGACACAGGUGGGUGGGAUGAGUAUUCUAAGGCGCGUGGAAGAACUCUCUUUAAGGAACUCUGCAAAAUAGCACCGUAUCUUCGGUAUAAGGUGUGGUUAGCUUUGUAUUAGGAUUUACUCCGAAAGCAAGGAAACUUACAACAAAGAGUCCCUCCCGACUGUUUACCAAAAACACAGCACUCUGCUAACUCGUAAGAGGAUGUAUAGGGUGUGACGCCUGCCCGGUGCUCGAAGGUUAAUUGAUGGGGUUAGCAUUAGCGAAGCUCUUGAUCGAAGCCCGAGUAAACGGCGGCCGUAACUAUAACGGUCCUAAGGUAGCGAAAUUCCUUGUCGGUUAAAUACCGACCUGCAUGAAUGGCGUAACGAGAUGGGAGCUGUCUCAAAGAGGGAUCCAGUGAAAUUGUAGUGGAGGUGAAAAUUCCUCCUACCCGCGGCAAGACGGAAAGACCCCGUGGACCUUUACUACAGCUUGACACUGCUAUUUGGAUAAGAAUGUGCAGGAUAGGUGGGAGGCUUUGAGUAUAUGACGCCAGUUGUAUAUGAGCCAUUGUUGAGAUACCACUCUUUCUUAUUUGGGUAGCUAACCAGCUUGAGUUAUCCUCAAGUGGGACAAUGUCUGGUGGGUAGUUUGACUGGGGCGGUCGCCUCCCAAAUAAUAACGGAGGCUUACAAAGGUUGGCUCAGAACGGUUGGAAAUCGUUCGUAGAGUAUAAAGGUAUAAGCCAGCUUAACUGCAAGACAUACAAGUCAAGCAGAGACGAAAGUCGGUCUUAGUGAUCCGGUGGUUCUGUGUGGAAGGGCCAUCGCUCAAAGGAUAAAAGGUACCCCGGGGAUAACAGGCUGAUCUCCCCCAAGAGCUCACAUCGACGGGGAGGUUUGGCACCUCGAUGUCGGCUCAUCGCAUCCUGGGGCUGGAGCAGGUCCCAAGGGUAUGGCUGUUCGCCAUUUAAAGCGGUACGCGAGCUGGGUUCAGAACGUCGUGAGACAGUUCGGUCCCUAUCUGCCGUGGGCGUAAGAAGAUUGAAGAGAUUUGACCCUAGUACGAGAGGACCGGGUUGAACAAACCACUGGUGUAGCUGUUGUUCUGCCAAGAGCAUCGCAGCGUAGCUAAGUUUGGAAAGGAUAAACGCUGAAAGCAUCUAAGCGUGAAGCCAACUCUAAGAUGAAUCUUCUCUAAGCUCUCUAGAAGACUACUAGUUUGAUAGGCUGGGUGUGUAAUGGAUGAAAGUCCUUUAGCUGACCAGUACUAAUAGAGCGUUUGGCUUAUCUUUAAUAAAGCAU